UGCAAGUCGAGGGGCAGCACGGGAGUAGCAAUACUUGGUGGCGACCGGCGCACGGGUGAGUAACGCGUAUGCAACCUACCUAUCAGAGGGGAAUAACCCGGCGAAAGUCGGACUAAUACCGCAUAAAACAGGGGCACCGCAUGGUGAUAUUUGUUAAAGAAAUUCGCUGAUAGAUGGGCAUGCGUUCCAUUAGGUAGUUGGUGAGGUAACGGCUCACCAAGCCGACGAUGGAUAGGGGAACUGAGAGGUUGGUCCCCCACACUGGUACUGAGACACGGACCAGACUCCUACGGGAGGCAGCAGUGAGGAAUAUUGGUCAAUGGGCGGGAGCCUGAACCAGCCAAGUCGCGUGGAAAAGGAAGAAGGAUCUAUGGUUCGUAAACUUCUUUUGCAGGGGAAUAAAGUGCAGGACGUGUCCUGUUUUGUAUGUACCCUGAGAAUAAGGAUCGGCUAACUCCGUGCCAGCCGCUGC
rnacentral:rRNA from 1 species